rnacentral:misc_RNA from 1 species
AACGCAUAUUGCGCCCUCUAGUAUUCUAGGAGGCAUGCCUGUUCGAGCGUCAUUUCAAUCCUCAGGCUUAGCCUGGUGUUGGGGCCCUUACGUGCUGUAAGCCCUGAAAUCUAGUGGCAGUCUUUCCGAACGCCGAGCGUAGUAAUUUGUUCUCGCUUAGGGGUUUCGGGUAGUACCUAGCCGUUAAAAACACCUAUAUUUUAAGUUGACCUCGGAUCAGGUAGGAAUACCCGCUGAACUUAA